rnacentral:snoRNA from 1 species
UUAUAUGAUGUUCAAACUAUAUUAAUAACUUUCGUUCUACUGAAUUAAUGAUCAAACGAUCUUGUAGAUAAAAUAUAAAAAUUUCUGAUU